UGCGGAUGUACAGAAGUACAGUCGAAAAAAGGUUUGUCGCAAGAAGUCAGCAGAAGCCAUAGUAAUGAAAUAAAUUCAUGAAGGGC
rfam:Bacillus sp. SA1-12 scf7180000003366, whole genome shotgun sequence.